GAUGAACGCUGGCGGCGUGCCUAAUACAUGCAAGUCGAGCGAAUGAAUUAAGAGCUUGCUCUUAUGAAGUUAGCGGCGGACGGGUGAGUAACACGUGGGUAACCUGCCCAUAAGACUGGGAUAACUCCGGGAAACCGGGGCUAAUACCGGAUAACAUUUUGAACCGCAUGGUUCGAAAUUGAAAGGCGGCUUCGGCUGUCACUUAUGGAUGGACCCGCGUCGCAUUAGCUAGUUGGUGAGGUAACGGCUAACCAAGGCAACGAUGCGUAGCCGACCUGAGAGGGUGAUCUGCCACACUGGGACUGAGACACGGCCCAGACUCCUACGGGAGGCAGCAGUAGGGAAUCUUCCGCAAUGGACGAAAGUCUGACGGAGCAACGCCGCGUGAGUGAUGAAGGCUUUCGGGUCGUAAAACUCUGUUGUUAGGGAAGAACAAGUGCUAGUUGAAUAAGCUGACACCUUGACGGUACCUAACCAGAAAGCCACGGCUAACUACGUGCCAGCCGCCGCGGUAA
rnacentral:rRNA from 1 species